UGAAAACUUGACAGAUAUAUAAAAGUGCCUUUUUAAACAAUGCAAUGAGCCAAUAAAUUAUAAUCUAUACACGUUUAAGUAAAAAAAUCUUACAUGAAAUAAAAAUAGCAAAUUUGAGUUUUAUAUAUAAAAUGAAAAAAACAUAUUACAUUAAUCAGAUUCGUCUUGAAUCUGACUAGAUGUAUGUGUGAAUUGAUUUAAAAAUAAACGUUAAAAUGGCCGACCAGAAGUUGUUCCCUCCAACCAGGAGGAUGAUGCCUAAAUGGUUGAACUUUCUCAUAGGAGGAGCCAGUGGGAUGAUGGCAAUCUCCAUUGUCCAGCCAGCAGACUUGUUGAAAACUCGUAUGCAGUUACUUGGGCCUGCUGGACGGAACCUGUCAGCAUUUGCCUUAGCCAGGGAUAUCGUGAAGUAUGAAGGCGUCAGAGGGUUCUACGGAGGUCUAACCGCCGCCCUGUUCCGCCAAGCGACCUACACCACUGGGCGCCUCGGCUGUUUUAACGUUAUGUUUGACACGUAUAAAUCAAAAUACGGUACUCCAUCAUUUCCGAAGAAGGUGGUGAUGGGUGUCGUUGCUGGAGGCGUUGGUUCCUUGAUUGGGAAUCCGGCUGAGGUAGCUCUGAUCAGAAUGACGGCUGAUGGCAGGCUGCCCGAGCAAGAUAGGAGGAACUAUAGGAAUGUGUUCAACGCUAUAUCCAGGAUAGUCAGAGAGGAGGGUGUGCGAACUCUAUGGAGGGGCGCCGGUGCCACAGUCAGCAGAGCUAUGGUCGUAAACGGUGCUCAAUUAGGCUCAUAUGCUCAGGCUCGAGAAAUGCUGCUGCCGACUCUUGGUGAUGGCUUGCCGCUUCACACGGUCGCAGCUAUGAUAUCCGGGUUCAUCACAACUGUCGCGUCUCUGCCCGUCGACAUCGUCAAGACAAGAGUACAGAAUUCAGUAGAGGGAAUGAGCCAGUUCGCAGUUUUAAGCAAAAUUAUCAGGAAUGAAGGUGUACUUUCUCUAUGGAGUGGCUUGUUACCGACAUACAUGAAGAUUGGUCCUAUGACAGUACUGAUAUUUAUGUUCCUCGAACAGAUGAAAAGAUUGUAUCACAAAUACGAACGCGAUGACCGCGGUGAGGUGUACAGUGCUACCCUACUUCGAAAGUGAGAAGCUACAGGUACGUUCUUGCGGAAUCCUGACUUCCUAUCCCGUCACUGUUAAUCUGUAAUUUCUUCUUACAAAGGUGCAAGUGAAAGUUAUUGUAAAAAUGGUUGUACCACAAAACCGAUGCGCAAACGCAUAGGAGAAGGCGGACGCUUAUGUGAAGCUGUGUCGGUAUCAAUAUUUUUUAAAUAAGUUAUGUAAAAUUUGUGCAUUCCUUUUGUAUAUUGUUUGGGAAAGUAUUUGGUAAUUUAUUA
rnacentral:misc_RNA from 1 species